rnacentral:rRNA from 1 species
CCCCUGCCUGCUAAAUAGUUGGGCGAAUGAAURUUCAUUGGCURCAGCUUCUUAGAGGGACGUGCGUUCUAUUAGACGCAGGAAGAUAGGGGCAAUAACAGGUCUGUGAUGCCCUUAGAUGUCCUGGGCCGCACGCGCGUUACACUGAUGCACUCAACGAGUCUACCUUGGCCGAGAGGCCUGGGAAAUCUUGUUAACWUGCAUCGUGAUAGGGAUAGAUUAUUGCAAUUAUUAAUCUUGAACGAGGAAUUCCUAGUAAACGCAGAUCAUCAAUCUGCAUUGAUUACGUCCCUGCCCUUUGUACACACCGCCCGUCGCACCUACCGAUUGAAUGGUCCGGUGAAGCCUCGGGAUUGCGAUGAGUUUCCUUCAUUGGGAGUUCGUCGCGAGAACCUGUCUAAACCUUAUCAUUUAGAGGAAGGUGAAGUCGUAACAAGGUUUCC